CUUGUACUGACAAGAAGAGAGAUUUGAUGAAAGAACUACAUGAAAGAACACUGUCUGAAAAACCUAAAUGUUUAUGAUAUUCUUACAUGGCUUGAAUUAAUACAUCAUUGGGCUAGCACCACCUUCAAACUGAUCAUCAGUUAGAACAUAAUAUGAUAUAUAGAACUUAGUAUAAUGUUAUUUUUCGUUUUUUAGUUUAGUAAGUAUGUUUUUGAAGUCUGUUGACUUUGGUCGGAUGUUCCUUAGACAUUUUAAAUUAAUUUUCCUUAUAGAACUUGGAGCUACCCUAGAGUUAUGGGAAAUACUCCUGAGCACCCUGUAGAUGCUACUUAAUCCUACUAAUCCUUCAUUCAUCAGUAUCGGUUGGUGGGCUUGGAGUUUAUAAAGUAUACGUCAUCAACCCAUAUUCGGCUCACUGCUGAGCUCGAGUCUCCUCUCAGAAUGAGAGGGGUUAGGCCAGUAGUCCACCACGCUGGCCCAAUGCGGAUUGGCAGACUUCACACACGCAGAGAGUUAAUAUAAUUCUCUGGUAUGCAGGUUUCCUCACGAUGUUUUCCUUCACCGAUUGAGACACGUGAUAUUUAAUUUCUUAAAAUGCACACAACUGAAAAGUUGGAGGUGCAUGCCCCGGACCGGAUUCGAACCCACACCCUCCGGAAUCGGAGGCACAGAUCAUAUCCACUGGGCUAUCACAGCUCUCAAUGAAGCAAUAUUAAUAUUAUAAAGUAUAUUAAGUAUAUAAAAUUUAUUUAUGAACGUUCAUCAUUCAGUUGAGCUUUUACUACCCAUAACACAAGCUAAGCUUACUUUGAGACUAGUUAGUGAUGUGUGUAAUGUGUUAGUAUAAAUAUUAACCAACUUUCUGCAGUUUGAGAAUACGCGGAUAAGAUAUAGCCUAUGAUACUCACAAAUAACGAGGCUUUCUAGUGGUAAAAGAAUUUUCAAAAUUGGUUCAGUAGAUCCAGAGUUUACCUGCUAGAACACCACCAACUUUACCUCUUUAUAAUACACAUUAACAACCCAUUAUCGGCUCAUUGCUGAGCACGAGUCACUUCUCAGGACGAGAGGGGUUAGGCCUCAGCCCUCCAUGCUGGCCCAAUGCGGAUUGGCAGACUUCACACACCUAGACAAUUAAGAAAAUUCUCAGUUAUGUAGGUUUCUUCACAAUGUUAUGCUUCACCAUUUAAGACAUUUAAUUUCAAAAUGGGUUGAAUACAUAUUAGUAUAGAUUUUUAUUGUGAGUUUCUUGAAAGAAGGAAAUGCUCAAUAUUUCAUAGACCAACCCAGGACUCAAACUCAGAAUUUCAUGAUAGUUACACUGAACCAAUAAAGCAGUUAGAGAGAGAGAGAGAGAGAGAGAGAGAGAGAGAGAGAGAGAGAGAGAGAGAGAGAGAGAGAUAAAUAAGAGUUUAUUAUGUAUUAAAAUUAAAAUAUAUACCUAAUGCUUUCAGCAAUCCUGCUUCUUCUCAUGAAUUUUACCCGCAUGACGACGGUUUUUAAUAUAAAAAAUAUUUACAAUGUCUCAAAAAGCAAUCAAAGCUUUGAAAAAUAAACAAUGUUCGCAGAAGUUCAGUACCAACAAACUUACAAAAAAUGAGCCCAAAUUUAGCAUUACUUGCAAGCCAGACUAAGAAAUUUCAAGAAGAGAGAUUUGAUGAUGAUGAUGAUGAUGAAUUUAAAAGAAGACAAUAGACUAAAAUAAUAUUAACACACAAUGCUUAGCAAAUAUAGCAUUAACAGAUGGAAAUCAGGCAAUAGGUGUAGCAAAAUAGAAGAUGAAGGUCUAGCUGUGCCAGUCAGUGCUGAGCCACAGUUGCUGCUGGCAUGUAUGCAAAAUAGCACAAGGUGUAGCAAAAUAGAAGAUGAAGGCCUAGCUGUACCAGUGCUGAGCCACACAGUUGCUACUGGCAUGUUUGCAAAAUAGCACAAGGUGUAGCAAAAUAGAAGAUGAAGGUCUAGCUGUGCCAGUCAGUGCUGAGCCACACAGUUUUUGCUGGCAUGUUUUCAAAAUAGCACAAGGUGUAGCAAAAUAGAAGAUGAAGGUCUAGCUGUGCCAGUGCUGAGCCACACAGUUGCUACUGGCAUGUUUGCAAAAUAGCACAAGCUGUAGCAAAAUAGAAGAUGAAGGUCUAGCUGUGUCAGUGCUGAGCCACACAGUUGCUGCUGGCAUGUUUGCAAUAUAGCACAAGAUGCUGUAAAAUGAAGAUAUAUUGUUAAAUAUCAUGAGAUAGAAAUAAAAGAUGAAGAUCUAGCUGUACCCGUCCCAAGCCACACUACUGCAGCCACGUUGCUGCUGGCAUUUUUGCAAAAUAGCACAAGGUCACAACAAUUGAUGUAACAAAUAUAAUCAAUGGACCAGGCACCUGCACCAUGAUUCUUUGGAAUACUAAAAUUCGUCUCUUUAUGUCUGUACUUCUCAUAAUGAAAAAUGUCACGUUUUUAUGAAAGAAAUAAUGGAAUCAAAUAAUAAAUAAAACAAGCAUAUGCUGGAAGUCCUCAGAAACAGCUCCGACUUUGAUGAUUUUUUUUAAAGUCAUGUUUUUUAUGUUAUUUAAAAUCAUAAAAGUUUUGGUGGACGAAAUUAUUUAAAUUGUUAAAAAAUAUCUAUGCUAUUUAUACAUAUAUAUAUAUAUUUUUUUAAAUACAACCGACUUCAAAAAUACAAACUUAUGCAGAACACUAACAAACGAAAGAAAAUAUUAUAAUAUUUUCUAUCUAUUGAUCACUUUGAAAGCGGUGCCAAUGGUCCAAUUAAUGGGCCGACAAUUAGUUAUCUACUGUUUACUAGCUAUAGGGUUCGAAUUGCUUUUUCAUAUGUUUAAAAGACUAUCAUCGAAAUGAAACAAUCAAUCAUCCUCUGUUUUCGUAAUGAAAAUAAAAAAAUUCCGAUUUAAAUAACUUUGUUUUAAAUAGAAAGGGUAUAUUCCGACAAUGGUCCCAAAUCAUUAUAAAUUUAAAAAAAACGAAGAUGACUGGUUAUUUUCCCAUUAAUUAUAUUGUAAAACUAUGCGUAACUUAUUACGAAGUGGUCCGAUUUCGUAAAUUCUUUAUAGAUUGUAAAGGUAUUUUGAUUAUAAAGCUCCCAUAUAAAUUUUAAAAAACAAUUUCAAUCCUAAAUGUGCGAUUGAUUGUUUUCUCAUUCAUUUUAAUGUAAAACCAAGCAUAACUUUUUAUUGGGUGGUUCGAUUUUGAUUAUUCUUUUUUUGAUAGAAAGGCUAUAUUCCUAAAAGUCUUAUAAAAUGUUGGAAAAAACAAUUUCAAACCUAAUAGUAGGAAAAUAGAAGAUGAUUAAUUGUUUUCCCAUUUAUUGUAAUGUUAAACUAUGCGUAACUUUUUACUGAGUAGACCGAUUUUGAAAAUUCUUUACUUUUUGUAAAGGGUUUAUUUCGAAGUAGGUCCCAUAUAAAUUUCGGAAAACAAUUCGAAUCCUUAAGGUGGAAAAAAACGGUACGAUUGAUUGCCUACCCAUUAAUUGUACAAUUGGCACCGGCUUCAAAGUAAUCAGUAGAUAGAAAAUAUUAUAAUGUUUUCUUCAGCUUAUUAGUUUACUGCAUAACUUUGUGUUUUUGAAGUCGGUAGUGUCUAUUUUUUAAUUAUUUAUUAUAUAAAUAGCAUAACUAUUGUUAAAUAGUAUAAAUCGUUCCAUCCUCACUCAAUAUGAAGAAACAAACUGAACAAAAAAAAUCAUCAAAAUCAGAGCUGUUUGAGGAGGUAGAGGGUAAAUGCUCUAUUGAUUCGCCUAAAAGUAAUAUUAUGUUAUCGCAUUAGGUUGUAAAGUUUGGCUAAUGAAAGUAGAGACUGAAAUUGCCCGCCAAAUUUAAAAAUCACAU